AUAUUUACCUGGCAGGGGAGAUACCAUGAUCACCAAGGUGGUUUUCCCAGGGCGAGGAUUAUCCAUUGCACUCCAGAUGUGCUGAGCCCUGUGAUUUCCCCAAAUGUGGGAAACUCAAUUGCAUAAUUUGCAAUAGUGGGGAAUGACAUUCAUGCUCUUCCCUG